UACAUGAAGUCGGAAUUGCUAGUAAUCGCGGAUCAGCAUGCCGCGGUGAAUACGUUCCCGGGCCUUGUACACACCGCCCGUCACACCAUGGGAGUCGGUAACACCCGAAGCCUGUAGUCUAACCGCAAGGAGGACGCAGUCGAAGGUGGGAUUGAUGACUGGGGUGAAGUCGUAACAAGGUAGC
rnacentral:rRNA from 1 species